rnacentral:rRNA from 1 species
UACGUAGGGUGCGAGCGUUAAUCGGAAUUACUGGGCGUAAAGGGUGCGUAGGCGGUUCAUUAAGUCAGUGGUGAAAUACGGCAGCUUAACUGUCGAGGUGCCAUUGAUACUGGUGAACUUGAGUACUGAUGAGGUAGGCGGAAUGGACGGUGUAGCGGUGAAAUGCUUAGAGAUCGUCCAGAACACCGAUAGCGAAGGCAGCUUACUAAGGAGUAACUGACGCUGAGGCACGAAAGUGUGGGGAUCAAACAGG